UUUCCCGCCCGGAAAAGCACUUAUGUAACACGUAUUGAGCAAUAGAAAGCUGUAUCGGGUGUUUUUCAUGCUGGUCUACAAUUGUCUCCUUGACACUUUUCAUCUAAUUAUAACAUUUGAGAAGUGUAUUAAUUAAGACUAAUUAUGUAAUUAGGCGAAAUGCAGAAAAUUAUGCAUCUCCAAGCGACGGCAAACACCAUUACGUUGGCUUUGCCCAGGUAUUCACGCGCAACUGCGUGGACGCCACGGUGUCCUUCAUUCGGGGCAACGCUUUGGUCAUCCUCGGCGUUUCCGUGGUGCUGACGGUGGUGUUUAGCGUGCUUAGCCGAGUGGCCACCAAGGUGCACGACGAGGUGAUCUCUCUGACGCGUCUCUACGACAACUACUACCGCAAGAGGGAGAUCGGCUAUCGCAAGUCGCUGGCGCAGAUGGAGGCCCUAAAUGAGGUCAGGGCGGCACAAGACCGCCUCGUGGGCAAGAAAGGGACCAGGGAGAUAUUGUCGUCGAGGGCAAGGUCUCCGUCAGAGGGCGAGUGGAAGCCGUCGCCAGUGUACAACCACAUGAUCGGCCGUCCUUCCAUUGACAUUGGGUCCGCGAAUAUUGACCUCGGGAACCAACCUGGUUCCCCCAACGUGGACCCGAGCAUAGUUAACCCCGAGAAACAGCACGCCGACCACCAGGAGCCGACCUCCGCAGGAAAAGGCCCUGCCAUCGCCUCUCCCACCGGGAUACUCUCGCCGACGUCCCCUUAGUCAUAUAACAACGACGUCCGGGCUACUGCCGUUACGCACACGUUUUAUUCGGCUUCACAGCGCUAAAGCGCUAUAGUAAUAAAGCUACACAUCAGAGGGUCAUGGCAUGCGUUCCUAUAACUACAAUUUGCGCCAAAUAAAUGUUACAGUUCCGCUCUAUAAACCGCUAGCAUAUGUUGCUGUAGGCUGCGACCCUUUCAACACAUACCACCUUCGAUAU